GGGGUUGUGGCUCAGUGGUAGAGUGCUCCCCUAGCAUGUGAGAGGCACUGGGUUCGAUGUUCAGCACCACA
rnacentral:tRNA from 1 species